rnacentral:rRNA from 1 species
GCCCUACGGGACGCAGCAGUGGGGAAUAUUGCGCAAUGGGGGGAACCCUGACGCAGCCAUGCCGCGUGAAUGAAGAAGGCCUUCGGGUUGUAAAGUUCUUUCGGUGAUGAGGAAGGUGAUAAGGUUAAUACCCUUAUUAAUUGACGUUAGUCACAGAAGAAGCACCGGCUAACUCCGUGCCAGCAGCCGCGGUAAUACGGAGGGUGCGAGCGUUAAUCGGAAUAACUGGGCGUA